CAGCCGCCGCGGGAAUACGUAGGUGGCAAGCGUUGUCCGGAAUUAUUGGGCGUAAAGCGCGCGCAGGUGGUUUAAUAAGUCUGAUGUGAAAGCCCACGGCUCAACCGUGGAGGGUCAUUGGAAACUGUUAAACUUGAGUGCAGGAGAGAAAAGUGGAAUUCCUAGUGUAGCGGUGAAAUGCGUAGAGAUUAGGAGGAACACCAGUGGCGAAGGCGGCUUUUUGGCCUGUAACCGACACUGAGGCGCGAAAGCGUGGGGAGCAAACAGGAUUAGAUACCCCUGUAGUCCCUGUCUCUUAUAC
rnacentral:rRNA from 1 species